GUGGGGAAUAUUGCGCAAUGGGCGAAAGCCUGACGCAGCGACGCCGCGUGAGGGAUGACGGCCUUCGGGUUGUAAACCUCUUUCAGCUCCGACGAAGCGAGAGUGACGGUAGGAGCAGAAGAAGCACCGGCCAACUACGUGCCAGCAGCCGCGGUAAUACGUAGGGUGCAAGCGUUGUCCGGAAUUAUUGGGCGUAAAGAGCUCGUAGGCGGUUUGUCGCGUCGACUGUGAAAACUCAGGGGCUCAACUCCGAGCUUGCAGUUGAUACGGGCAGACUAGAGUUCGGCAGGGGAGACUGGAAUUCCUGGUGUAGCGGUGAAAUGCGCAGAUAUCAGGAGGAACACCGGUGGCGAAGGCGGGUCUCUGGGCCGAUACUGACGCUGAGGAGCGAAAGCGUGGGGAGCGAACAGGAUUAGAUACCCUGGUAGUCCACGCCGUAAACGUUGGGCGCUAGGUGUGGGGUCCCUUCCACGGGUUCCGUGCCGCAGCUAACGCAUUAAGCGCCCCGCCUGGGGAGUACGGCCGCAAGGC
rnacentral:rRNA from 1 species